AUUGAACGCUGGCGGCAGGCCUAACACAUGCAAGUCGAGCGGAGCGGAGGACGGGUGAGUAAGGCAUAGGAAUCUGACUGGAAGGGGGGGAUAAAGUCCGGAACCGGGCGCUAAUACCGCAUACUAACAGGUGAGCCUAGGUCGGAUUAGCUAGUUGGGGGGGUAAAGGACUACCAAGGCGACGAUCCUUAACUGGUCUGCGAGGAUGAUCAGGCAAACUGGUACUGAGACACGGUCCAGACUCCUACGUGAGGCAGCAGUUGGGAUGAUUGGACAAUGGGCGAAAGCCUGAUCCAGCCAUGCCGCGUGUGUGAAGAAGGUCUUCGGAUUGUAAUGCACUUUAAGUUGGGAGGCGUUACCAACAGAAUAAGCACCGGCUAACUUCGUGCCAGCAGCCGCGGUAAUUC
rnacentral:rRNA from 1 species